CCUACGGGAGGCAGCAGUGAGGAAUAUUGGUCAAUGGUCGCGAGCCUGAACCAGCCAAGUAGCGUGAAGGAUGAAGGUCCUACGGGUUGUAAACUUCUUUUAUAAGGGAAUAAAGUGAGUCACGUGUGCCUUUUUGUAUGUACUUUAUGAAUAAGGAUCGGCUAACUCCGUGCCAGCAGCCGCGGUAAUACGGAGGAUCCGAGCGUUAUCCGGAUUUAUUGGGUUUAAAGGGAGCGUAGGUGGGUUGUUAAGUCAGGUGUGAAAGUUUGGGGCUCAACCGUAACAUUGCAGUUGAUACUGGCAGACUGGAGUACAGGAGAGGUAGGCGGAAUGCGUGGUGUAGCGGUGAAAUGCGUAGAUAUCGCGAAGAACUCCGAUUGCGAAGGCAGCAUACUGGACUGCAACUGACACUGAGGCGCGAAAGCGUGGGUAUCAAACAGGAUUAGAUACCCCAGUAGUC
rnacentral:rRNA from 1 species